AAGGCUGAGGCGUGACGACGAGGCACUACGGUGCUGAAGCAACAAAUGCCCUGCUUCCAGGAAAAGCCUCUAAGCAUCAGGUAACAUCAAAUCGUACCCCAAACCGACACAGGUGGUCAGGUAGAGAAUACCAAGGCGCUUGAGAGAACUCGGGUGAAGGAACUAGGCAAAAUGGUGCCGUAACUUCGGGAGAAGGCACGCUGACACGUAGGUGAAGUGAUUUACUCAUGGAGCUGAAGUCAGUCGAAGAUACCAGCUGGCUGCAACUGUUUAUUAAAAACACAGCACUGUGCAAACACGAAAGUGGACGUAUACGGUGUGACGCCUGCCCGGUGCCGGAAGGUUAAUUGAUGGGGUCAGCGCAAGCGAAGCUCCUGAUCGAAGCCCCGGUAAACGGCGGCCGUAACUAUAACGGUCCUAAGGUAGCGAAAUUCCUUGUCGGGUAAGUUCCGACCUGCACGAAUGGCGUAAUGAUGGCCAGGCUGUCUCCACCCGAGACUCAGUGAAAUUGAACUCGCUGUGAAGAUGCAGUGUACCCGCGGCAAGACGGAAAGACCCCGUGAACCUUUACUAUAGCUUGACACUGAACAUUGAGCCUUGAUGUGUAGGAUAGGUGGGAGGCUUUGAAGCGUGGACGCCAGUCUGCGUGGAGCCGACCUUGAAAUACCACCCUUUAAUGUUUGAUGUUCUAACGUGGACCCGUAAUCCGGGUUGCGGACAGUGUCUGGUGGGUAGUUUGACUGGGGCGGUCUCCUCCUAAAGAGUAACGGAGGAGCACGAAGGUUGGCUAAUCCUGGUCGGACAUCAGGAGGUUAGUGCAAUGGCAUAAGCCAGCUUGACUGCGAGCGUGACGGCGCGAGCAGGUGCGAAAGCAGGUCAUAGUGAUCCGGUGGUUCUGAAUGGAAGGGCCAUCGCUCAACGGAUAAAAGGUACUCCGGGGAUAACAGGCUGAUACCGCCCAAGAGUUCAUAUCGACGGCGGUGUUUGGCACCUCGAUGUCGGCUCAUCACAUCCUGGGGCUGAAGUAGGUCCCAAGGGUAUGGCUGUUCGCCAUUUAAAGUGGUACGCGAGCUGGGUUUAGAACGUCGUGAGACAGUUCGGUCCCUAUCUGCCGUGGGCGCUGGAGAACUGAGGGGGGCUGCUCCUAGUACGAGAGGACCGGAGUGGACGCAUCACUGGUGUUCGGGUUGUCAUGCCAAUGGCACUGCCCGGUAGCUAAAUGCGGAAGAGAUAAGUGCUGAAAGCAUCUAAGCACGAAACUUGCCCCGAGAUGAGUUCUCCCUGAGACUUUAGGUCUCCUGAAGGAACGUUGAAGACGACGACGUUGAUAGG
rnacentral:rRNA from 1 species